rnacentral:ncRNA from 2 species
UCAGCGGGCCGUGACUGGCGCGCUGGGAUGGGACGGACCAUCGGGGAGCGGCCCGAGCGGGAAUUCAGUGCCGUGCGCCUGGGCCGAACGU